rnacentral:rRNA from 1 species
AGUUGGAAACGACUGCUAAUACCGCAUAAGCCCACGGCUCGGCAUCGAGCAGGGGGAAAAGGAGCAAUCCGCUUUGAGAUGGCCUCGCGUCCGAUUAGCUAGUUGGUGAGGCAAUGGCCCACCAAGGCGACGAUCGGUAGCCGGACUGAGAGGUUGAACGGCCACAUUGGGACUGAGACACGGCCCAGACUCCUACGGGAGGCAGCAGUGGGGAAUAUUGCACAAUGGGGGAAACCCUGAUGCAGCGACGCCGCGUGGAGGAAGAAGGUCUUCGGAUUGUAAACUCCUGUUGUUGAGGAAGAUAAUGACGGUACUCAACAAGGAAGUGACGGCUAACUACGUGCCAGCAGCCGCGGUAAAACGUAGGUCACAAGCGUUGUCCGGAAUUACUGGGUGUAAAGGGAGCGCAGGCGGGAGAACAAGUUGGAAGUGAAAUCCAUGGGCUCAACCCAUGAACUGCUUUCAAAACUGUUUUUCUUGAGUAGUGCAGAGGUAGGCGGAAUUCCCGGUGUAGCGGUGGAAUGCGUAGAUAUCGGGAGGAACACCAGUGGCGAAGGCGGCCUACUGGGCACCAACUGACGCUGAGGCUCGAAAGUGUGGGUAGCAAACAGGAUUAGAUACCCUGGUAGUCCACACCGUAAACGAUGAUUACUAGGUGUUGGAGGAUUGACCCCUUCAGUGCCGCAGUUAACAC